UACAGAGGGUGCUAGCGUUGUUCGGAAUUAUUGGGCGUAAAGGGCGCGUAGGCGGCUUCGUAUGUCGGGUGUGAAAGCCCACCUCUUAAAGGUGGAAUUGCAUUCGAAACUACGGGGCUGGAGUACCGGAGAGGAUGGUGGAAUUCCUGGUGUAGAGGUGAAAUUCGUAGAUAUCAGGAGGAACACCGGUGGCGAAGGCGGCCAUCUGGACGGUAACUGACGCUGAGGCGCGAAAGCGUGGGGAUCAGACAGG
rnacentral:rRNA from 1 species